GGCUGCAAAACAGGCUGCGCUUCAUGAGCUCCUCCGUGUCCCCUGCACCCCUGAUGGGGCUCCUAAUCCAGCGCUUCCUACCGUAAGUACCGGCGCACAGUAGAGGAGAUGCACUAUUCAGGGAUGGAGAUCAAUGCGGCCCCUAUUGAAACGCUCCGUUGCCGGGAAUCAAAGACAGUGAAGUGCAGUGAUUUUGUCUCCCGCUCCCUCUGAGCUUUUCUUCUCUGCAGCAGACUUUUCUUUUCAGAGCUUCCCUUGCUGCCGCUCCUCCUCCCUUGUCACAGUCUCUGCUGCAGGAUCAAAUUACUUCGGCUGUGACAGGGAGAAGGCGAGCGCGCUACCAGCAGCUGUGUGUGUGCAUCUGAUUGGCCAGCAGCACUCAAAUGGUUUUCAGCUCGGGAGAAACGGAAGCAAGGAAGGAGCUGCUACUAUCACAUUAGCACUGCAGUCUGCUUCUCACCACUUUCCCACCCAUACGUUAUGCACAAGGAAAAAAAAUAAAAUACUUUGAAGUCGAGUCUAUGCAGCCCAACAUUACAAAUUGUAUGAUUAAUGCAAUUCAAUGCAGAAGAAAUGUAUUAGAAUUUGAAUGAGGGAAUCCUGAUCGAUUACCAGAAGCUUGAAUUUUAUCACGUUAUUGACACUUUUCUUGGGUCAAGGAAAUUCUUCUGACAGAUCCCCACUAGCCGCAUGCAUGCACCCUACUAUUGAGCCAUAACGUCACUUCUGACCAAGAACCAUUUAAAGUUGCUACAUAUAAAUUGUAGACUCUCAUCAAGAAAAGGGAAAACGGGAAGGCAUGUCACAAGUCA